rnacentral:rRNA from 1 species
UACAGAGGUCUCAAGCGUUGUUCGGAUUCAUUGGGCGUAAAGGGUGCGUAGGCGGCGCGGUAAGUCGGGUGUGAAAUCUCGGAGCUUAACUCCGAAACUGCAUUCAAUACUGCCGUGCUUGAGGACUGGAGAGGAGACUGGAAUUUACGGUGUAGCGGUGAAAUGCGUAGAUAUCGUAAGGAAGACCAGUGGCGAAGGCGGGUCUCUGGACAGU